rnacentral:rRNA from 1 species
CGGAGAAUGUUAUCACGGGAGACACACGGCGGGUGCUAACGUCCGUCGUGAAGAGGGAAACAACCCAGACCGCCAGCUAAGGUCCCAAAGUCAUGGUUAAGUGGGAAACGAUGUGGGAAGGCCCAGACAGCCAGGAUGUUGGCUUAGAAGCAGCCAUCAUUUAAAGAAAGCGUAAUAGCUCACUGGUCGAGUCGGCCUGCGCGGAAGAUGUAACGGGGCUAAACCAUGCACCGAAGCUGCGGCAGCGACGCUKAUGCGUUGUUGGGUAGGGGAGCGUUCUGUAAGCCUGCGAAGGUGRCCUGUGAGGGUUGCUGGAGGUAUCAGAAGUGCGAAUGCUGACAUAAGUAACGAUAAAGCGGGUGAAAAGCCCGCUCGCCGGAAGACCAAGGGUUCCUGUCCAACGUUAAUCGGGGCAGGGUGAGUCGACCCCUAAGGCGAGGCCGAAAGGCGUAGUCGAUGGGAAACGGGUUAAUAUUCCCGUACUUGGUGUUACUGCGAAGGGGGGACGGAGAAGGCUAUGUUGGCCGGGCGACGGUUGUCCCGGUUUAAGCGUGUAGG